CUGGAGGUAUCAGAAGUGCGAAUGCUGACAUAAGUAACGAUAAAGCGGGUGAAAAGCCCGCUCGCCGGAAGACCAAGGGUUCCUGUCCAACGUUAAUCGGGGCAGGGUGAGUCGACCCCUAAGGCGAGGCCGAAAGGCGUAGUCGAUGGGAAACAGGUUAAUAUUCCUGUACUUGGUGUUACUGCGAAGGGGGGACGGAGAAGGCUAUGUUGGCCGGGCGACGGUUGUCCCGGUUUAAGCGUGUAGGCUGGUUUUCCAGGCAAAUCCGGAAAAUCAAGGCUGAGGCGUGAUGACGAGGCACUACGGUGCUGAAGCAACAAAUGCCCUGCUUCCAGGAAAAGCCUCUAAGCAUCAGGUAACAUCAAAUCGUACCCCAAACCGACACAGGUGGUCAGGUAGAGAAUACCAAGGCGCUUGAGAGAACUCGGGUGAAGGAACUAGGCAAAAUGGUGCCGUAACUUCGGGAGAAGGCACGCUGAUAUGUAGGUGAAGUCCCUCGCGGAUGGAGCUGAAAUCAGUCGAAGAUACCAGCUGGCUGCAACUGUUUAUUAAAAACACAGCACUGUGCAAACACGAAAGUGGACGUAUACGGUGUGACGCCUGCCCGGUGCCGGAAGGUUAAUUGAUGGGGUUAGCGCAAGCGAAGCUCUUGAUCGAAGCCCCGGUAAACGGCGGCCGUAACUAUAACGGUCCUAAGGUAGCGAAAUUCCUUGUCGGGUAAGUUCCGACCUGCACGAAUGGCGUAAUGAUGGCCAGGCUGUCUCCACCCGAGACUCAGUGAAAUUGAACUCGCUGUGAAGAUGCAGUGUACCCGCGGCAAGACGGAAAGACCCCGUGAACCUUUACUAUAGCUUGACACUGAACAUUGAGCCUUGAUGUGUAGGAUAGGUGGGAGGCUUUGAAGUGUGGACGCCAGUCUGCAUGGAGCCGACCUUGAAAUACCACCCUUUAAUGUUUGAUGUUCUAACGUUGACCCGUGAUCCGGGUUGCGGACAGUGUCUGGUGGGUAGUUUGACUGGGGCGGUCUCCUCCUAAAGAGUAACGGAGGAGCACGAAGGUUGGCUAAUCCUGGUCGGACAUCAGGAGGUUAGUGCAAUGGCAUAAGCCAGCUUGACUGCGAGCGUGACGGCGCGAGCAGGUGCGAAAGCAGGUCAUAGUGAUCCGGUGGUUCUGAAUGGAAGGGCCAUCGCUCAACGGAUAAAAGGUACUCCGGGGAUAACAGGCUGAUACCGCCCAAGAGUUCAUAUCGACGGCGGUGUUUGGCACCUCGAUGUCGGCUCAUCACAUCCUGGGGCUGAAGUAGGUCCCAAGGGUAUGGCUGUUCGCCAUUUAAAGUGGUACGCGAGCUGGGUUUAGAACGUCGUGAGACAGUUCGGUCCCUA
rnacentral:rRNA from 1 species